rnacentral:rRNA from 1 species
AUUGAACGCUGGCGGCAGGCCUAACACAUGCAAGUCGAGCGAGCGGCGGACGGGUGAGUAAUGUCUGGGAAACUGCCUGAUGGAGGGGGAUAACUACUGGAAACGGUAGCUAAUACCGCAUACCAUCAGAUGUGCCCAGGGGGGAUUUGCUGUUAGGUGGGGUAACGGCCCACAAGGGCGACGAACCCUAGCUGGUCUGAGAGGGUGACCAGCCACACUGGAACUGAGACACGGUCCAGACUCCUACGGGAGGCAGAAGUGGGGAAUAUUGCACAAUGGGCGCAAGCCUGAUGCAGCCAUGCCGCGUGUGUGAAGAAGGCCUUCGGGUUGUAAAGCAAUUUCAGCGGGGAGGCGUUACCCGCAGAAGAAGCACCGGCUAACUCCGUGCCAGCAGCCGCGGUAAUAC